rnacentral:tRNA from 1 species
GAUAUAGCUUAGUGGUAGAGGACUUGCCUCAAAUGUGUGAGGGCCUGGGUUCCAUCCCCAGUACA